rnacentral:rRNA from 1 species
UAAGGAAUAUUGGUCAAUGGACGCAAGUCUGAACCAGCCAUGCCGCGUGAAGGAUGAAGGUCCUCUGGAUUGUAAACUUCUUUUAUCUGGGACGAAAACGGGAUUUUUAUCUCAAUUGACGGUACCAGAGGAAUAAGCACCGGCUAACUCCGUGCCAGCAGCCGCGGUAAUACGGAGGGUGCGAGCGUUAUCCGGAUUUACUGGGUUUAAAGGGUGCGUAGGUGGGCUUAUAAGUCAGUGGUGAAAUCUCCGAGCUUAACUUGGAAACUGCCGUUGAUACUAUAGGUCUUGAAUUAUCUGGAGGUAAGCGGAAUAUGUCAUGUAGCGGUGAAAUGCUUAGAUAUGACAUAGAACACCAAUUGCGAAGGCAGCUUACUACAUAUAAAUUGACGCUGAGGCACGGAAGCGUGGGGAUCAAACA